rnacentral:rRNA from 1 species
AUCCUACGGGAGGCAGCAGUGAGGAAUAUUGGUCAAUGGGCGCAAGCCUGAACCAGCCAAGUCGCGUGAGGGAUGACGGUCCUAUGGAUUGUAAACCUCUUUUGUCGGGGAGCAAGGCCCGCCACGUGUGGCGGGAAGGAGAGUACCCGAAGAAAAAGCAUCGGCUAACUCCGUGCCAGCAGCCGCGGGAAUUCGGAAGAUGCGAGCGUUAUCCGGAUUUAUUGGGUUUAAAGGGGUCGUAGGCGGAAGGUUAAGGCAGCGGUCAAAUGUCGGUGCUCAACACCGGCCUGCC